GAUGAACGCUGGCGGCGUGCCUAAUACAUGCAAGUCGAGCGAACGGACGAGAAGCUUGCUUCUCUGAUGUUAGCGGCGGACGGGUGAGUAACACGUGGAUAACCUACCUAUAAGACUGGGAUAACUUCGGGAAACCGGAGCUAAUACCGGAUAAUAUUUUGAACCGCAUGGUUCAAAAGUGAAAGACGGUCUUGCUGUCACUUAUAGAUGGAUCCGCGCUGCAUUAGCUAGUUGGUAAGGUAACGGCUUACCAAGGCAACGAUGCAUAGCCGACCUGAGAGAGUGAUCGGCCACACUGGAACUGAGACACGGUCCUGACUCCUACGGGAGGCAGCAGUAGGGAAUCUUCCGCGAUGGGCGAAAGCCUGACGGAGCAACGCCGCGUGAGUGAUGAAGGUCUUCGGAUCGUAAAACUCUGUUAUUAGGGAAGAACAUAUGUGUAAGUAACUGUGCACAUCUUGACGGUACCUAAUCAGAAAGCCACGGCUAACUACGUG
rnacentral:rRNA from 1 species